UUGCUCUUCAACGAGGAAUGCCUAGUAAGCGCGUGUCAUCAGCAUGCGCUGAUUACGUCCCUGCCCUUUGUACACACCGCCCGUCGCUACUACCGAUUGAAUGGCUCAGUGAGGCAUUCGGACUGGCUCGGGGAGGUUGGCAACGACCACCCCGAGCCGGAAAGUUCUCCAAACUCGGUCAUUUAGAGGAAGUAAAAGUCGUAACAAGGUUUCCGUAGGUGAACCUGCGGAAGGAUCAUUAAACGCUACGCCACAGGGGCCGGGGGAGAGUCGCAGAUCCUCGCGAUCGGCGCUUCUUCUCGCCCUGUCGGAAUACUACCCAUGAUUUUUGCGCACCCAUUGUUUCCUCGGCAGGCCUGCCUGCCAAGAGGACCCCUCUAAAACCAUUUGCAGUUGCAGUCAGCGUCAGAAAAACGUAAUUAUCACAACUUUCAACAACGGAUCUCUUGGUUCUGGCAUCGAUGAAGAACGCAGCGAAAUGCGAUAAGUAGUGUGAAUUGCAGAAUUCAGUGAAUCAUCGAAUCUUUGAACGCACAUUGCGCCUCUUGGUAUUCCAUGAGGCAUGCCUGUUCGAGCGUCAUUUGUACCCUCAAGCCUUGCUUGGUGUUGGGCGGUUGUUCCGCUGCGCGCGCGAACUCGCCUCAAAUCUAUUGGCAGCCGGCGAUGUGGCGUCUGAGCGCAGCACAUUUUGCGCGCAGCGCCGCGUCGUGGCGUCCACGAAGCCUACUCUAUACGCUUGACCUCGGAUCAGGUAGGGAUACCCGCUGAACUUAAGCAUAUCAAUAAGCGGAGGA
rnacentral:rRNA from 1 species